rnacentral:rRNA from 1 species
CCUACGGGGGGCAGCAGUAUGGAAUCUUUCACAAUGGACGCAACCCUGAUGCAGCCACGCCGCGUGAAUGAGGAAGUAUUUCUGUAUGUAAAGCUGUAUCAGCAGGGAGUAGAACGGAAAGUACCUGAAAAAGAAGCACCGGCUAAAUACGUGCCAGCAGCCGCGGUAAUACGUAGGGGGCAAGCGUUAUACGGAUUUACUGGGUGUAAAGGGAUCGUAGACGGAAAAGCAAGUCAGAAGUGAAAACCCAAGGUGGAACCAUGGGACUGCUUUUGAAACUGUCAAACUAGAGUACGGGAGAGGUAAGAGGAAUUGCUAGUGUAGCGGUGAAAUGCGUAGAUAUUAGGAGGAACACCAGUGGCGAAGGCGUCUUACUGGACCGAAACUGACGUUGAGGCUCGAAAGCGUGGGGAGCAAACAGGAUUAGAUACCCUUGUAGUC